GCGGCGUGCCUAAUACAUGCAAGUCGAACGAACUCUGGUAUUGAUUGGUGCUUGCAUCAUGAUUUACAUUUGAGUGAGUGGCGAACUGGUGAGUAACACGUGGGAAACCUGCCCAGAAGCGGGGGAUAACACCUGGAAACAGAUGCUAAUACCGCAUAACAACUUGGACCGCAUGGUCCGAGCUUGAAAGAUGGCUUCGGCUAUCACUUUUGGAUGGUCCCGCGGCGUAUUAGCUAGAUGGUGGGGUAACGGCUCACCAUGGCAAUGAUACGUAGCCGACCUGAGAGGGUAAUCGGCCACAUUGGGACUGAGACACGGCCCAAACUCCUACGGGAGGCAGCAGUAGGGAAUCUUCCACAAUGGACGAAAGUCUGAUGGAGCAACGCCGCGUGAGUGAAGAAGGGUUUCGGCUCGUAAAACUCUGUUGUUAAAGAAGAACAUAUCUGAGAGUAACUGCUCAGGUAUUGACGGUAUUUAACCAGAAAGCCACGGCUAACUACGUGCCAGCAGCCGCGGUAAUACGUAGGUGGCAAGCGUUGUCCGGAUUUAUUGGGCGUAAAGCGAGCGCAGGCGGUUUUUUAAGUCUGAUGUGAAAGCCUUCGGCUCAACCGAAGAAGUGCAUCGGAAACUGGGAAACUUGAGUGCAGAAGAGGACAGUGGAACUCCAUGUGUAGCGGUGAAAUGCGUAGAUAUAUGGAAGAACACCAGUGGCGAAGGCGGCUGUCUGGUCUGUAACUGACGCUGAGGCUCGAAAGUAUGGGUAGCAAACAGGAUUAGAUACCCUGGUAGUCCAUACCGUAAACGAUGAAUGCUAAGUGUUGGAGGGUUUCCGCCCUUCAGUGCUGCAGCUAACGCAUUAAGCAUUCCGCCUGGGGAGUACGGCCGCAAGGCUGAAACUCAAAGGAAUUGACGGGGGCCUGCACAAGCGGUGGAGCAUGUGGUUUAAUUCGAAGCUACGCGAAGAACCUUACCAGGUCUUGACAUACUAUGCAAAUCUAAGAGAUUAGACGUUCCCUUCGGGGACAUGGAUACAGGUGGUGCAUGGUUGUCGUCAGCUCGUGUCGUGAGAUGUUGGGUUAAGUCCCGCAACGAGCGCAACCCUUAUUAUCAGUUGCCAGCAUUAAGUUGGGCACUCUGGUGAGACUGCCGGUGACAAACCGGAGGAAGGUGGGGAUGACGUCAAAUCAUCAUGCCCCUUAUGACCUGGGCUACACACGUGCUACAAUGGAUGGUACAACGAGUUGCGAACUCGCGAGAGUGAGCUAAUCUCUUAAAGCCAUUCUCAGUUCGGAUUGUAGGCUGCAACUCGCCUACAUGAAGUCGGAAUCGCUAGUAAUCGCGGAUCAGCAUGCCGCGGUGAAUACGUUCCCGGGCCUUGUACACACCGCCCGUCACACCAUGAGAGUUUGUAACACCCAAAGUCGGUGGGGUAACCUUUUAGGAACCAGCCGCCUAAGGUGGGACAGAUGAUUAGGGUGAA
rnacentral:rRNA from 1 species